AGAGUUUGAUCAUGGCUCAGGAUGAACGCUAGCUACAGGCUUAACACAUGCAAGUCGAGGGGCAGCAUGUUGGUUGCUUGCAACCAACGAUGGCGACCGGCGCACGGGUGAGUAACGCGUAUCCAACCUACCCUUGUCCAUCGGAUAACCCGUCGAAAGGCGGCCUAACACGAUAUGCGGUUCACGGCAGGCAUCUAAGGUGAACGAAAUGUGAAGGAGAAGGAUGGGGAUGCGUCUGAUUAGCUUGUUGGCGGGGUAACGGCCACCAAGGCUACGAUCAGUAGGGUUCUGAGAGGAAGGUCCCCCANAGUUGGAACUGAGACACGGUCCAAACUCCGUAGGAGCA
rnacentral:rRNA from 1 species